rnacentral:rRNA from 1 species
UACGUAGGGUGCAAGCGUUGUCCGGAAUUAUUGGGCGUAAAGAGCUCGUAGGCGGUUUGUCACGUCGGAUGUGAAACCCUGAGGCUCAACCUCAGGCCUGCAUUCGAUACGGGCAGACUAGAAUUCGGCAGGGGAGACUGGAAUUCCUGGUGUAGCGGUGAAAUGCGCAGAUAUCAGGAGGAACACCGGUGGCGAAGGCGGAUCUCUGGGCCUUACCUGACGCUCAGGUGCGAAAGCUAGGGGAGCGAACAGG